CAAGUCGAACGAGAAAGUGGAGCAAUCCAUGAGUAAAGUGGCGACCGGGUGAGUAACACGUGACUAACCUACCUUCGAGUGGGGGAUAACAUCGGGAAACCGAUGCUAAUACCGCAUAACAUCGCAAGAUCAAAGCAGCAAUGCGCUGGAAGAGGGGGUCGCGGCUGAUUAGCUAGUUGGCGGGGUAACGGCCCACCAAGGCGAAGAUCGGUAGCCGGCCUGAGAGGGCGCACGGCCACACUGGAACUGAAACACGGUCCAGACUCCUACGGGAGGCAGCAGUGGGGAAUUUUGCGCAAUGGGGGAAACCCUGACGCAGCAACGCCGCGUGGAGGAUGAAGCCCCUUGGGGCGUAAACUCCUUUCGACCAAGACGAUAAUGACGGUACUGGUGGAAGAAGCACCGGCUAACUCUGUGCCAGCAGCCGCGGUAAUACAGAGGGUGCGAGCGUUGUUCGGAAUUAUUGGGCGUAAAGGGUGCGUAGGCGGUGCCACAAGUCACUUGUGAAAUCCCCAGGCUUAACCUGGGGCCUGCAGGCGAAACUGUGGUGCUGGAGUAUGGGAGAGGUGCGUGGAAUUCCCGGUGUAGCGGUGAAAUGCCUAGAUAUCGGGAGGAACACCUGUGGCGAAAGCGGCGCACUGGACCAUAACUGACGCUGAUGCACGAAAGCUAGGGGAGCAAACAGGAUUAGAUACCCUGGUAGUCCUAGCCCUAAACGAUGAUUGCUUGGUGUAGCAGGUACCCAAUCCUGCUGUGCCGCAGCUAACGCGAUAAGCAAUCCGCCUGGGGAGUACGGUCGCAAGGCUGAAACUCAGAGGAAUUGACGGGGGCCCGCACAAGCGGUGGAGCAUGUGGUUCAAUUCGACGCACGCGAAGAACCUUACCUGGGCUCGAAAUGCAUGGAACCGGGGUGGAAACAUCCCUUCCCCUUAAA
rnacentral:rRNA from 1 species